GAGUAGCUGGGACUACAGGUUGUCAUUCUUCUUGUUUCGUCUCCUCCUCCUUUCCCUGGAUGAUCUUAUUUCCUCCCUGGUCUUUAACCAUCACCUGCAGGCUGACAGCUCCCAAAUCUCUGUCUUCAAUCCGGAUGUCUGUCCCGGGCUCCAGUUUUGUGGUUCCACCUAUAUGCUCUACAGGUCAUAGAAUUUUCCACACUCCUUGACGGAGGUUCUUAACCCUUAUCCAUCAGCAUUCUCAGACAGCACCUCCGGUUAGGGACAGUAUCUGACCGUCCGACAUCCCUGCAGCCCCCAUGCUGUCACACAGACUCAGCCUCAGGUAGAUGGUUUCCGUAGAUGGUGGCUUUCUUUGGACCCUUGAUAUCAACCAGUUACUAUUUGACUCUUCUGCAGAACCCCAUGUUGACCCCUGCUUUGAGGUGGCAGCGUUAACACUACUCUUUGUUAUAAGCUCUCGUCUGGGGCAACUCAGGAGAACGGGACCAGAUGUGCAGAGGUAAUGAAUACCAGGGAAUCAGGAAACCACUGGAUCAGUUCUUUGAGCCAUAGAACAACACUCAUCCCAGCAGCUGGGAAGCUAUCUGCAAAAGUCCAUCUGCAGAAAGGGCUUCCUGGUCUUGCGUGUGGCUGGGCCAUUUCUCUGGAUGCAGGUUUUUCAUUAUACAGUCUUCUCAAAGGACCACCUGCUCUCAACACC
rnacentral:antisense_RNA from 1 species